AGGCCACCGCGCAGCUGUCGGAAGAGGCCGUGGUGGGCGGGGCAAAGCGGGAGCGGAAGUGGCCGGGAAAGGAAGCCUCUUUCGCGAGAGGAGGCGCUUCCUGUCCUAUAUCCCCAGUGUCUCCGGGUGUGAGGAAGAGUGCGGUUCGAUUCUUUCUUAACUGCCAGUGCACAAUUCUACGGAAGCAUGGGAGGUGUAGUUUUUAAGGAGGUUUUUAGCCUUCCGUGCCGAAGAGUGUUGGUACCAAACUACAACUCUCAGGAUUCAACGGGAUUGAGCUAGUCCAAGUGGUCCUCUGAUCGCCCGAUUUCACGGGAGAGAGAAAAAUGGGAAGACUGGAGAUACAGCGUGGGGAGAGCAAAGGAAGAUUUAAAUGGCUAUAACCCAAAGCUUUCUGUCGCAUCCUGAAUACAGGAGAAUAUUUAGAUUAAGCUUAGAGUAGUCUAUAUGUUUUGCUUGCAAUAUCAAAACUUAUCUUUGAGGAAAAAAGGGGAAAAAAAUGGGGAAUACUCUUCCUCCUGCCAUGAGUUCAACAGUAUUUAAGAAAUGUUGGGAGUGCUUUUGAUUUCAUCAUCAGAUGCCCUGUAAGUGUAUUCCUAUUACCACUGGUUGAAGAUCAUAUUAUGAAGUUCUUGUAUUAUUAUGCCCUCAUUGGAUAUACAUUUACUUAGAAAUAAAAUCAACUGAAAUACU